rnacentral:rRNA from 1 species
CCUACGGGUGGCAGCAGUGAGGAAUAUUGGUCAAUGGGCGCAAGCCUGAACCAGCCAAGCCGCGUGAAGGACGAAGGUCCUAAGGAUUGUAAACUUCUUUUGUCAGGGAACAAAAUCAGGCACGUGAGCCUGACUGCCCGUACUUUAUGAAAAAGCAUCGGCUAACUCCGUGCCAGCAGCCGCGGUAAUACGGAGGAUGCGAGCGUUAUCCGGAUUUAUUGGGUUUAAAGGGUGCGUAGGGGGGGCGUUAAGUUAGGGGUGAAAGGUCGGGGCUCAACCCUGGAGGGGCAUUUGAAACGGGCGGACUAGAGUGGAGGAGAGGUAGGCGGAAUGCGUAGGGUAGCGGUGAAAUGCUUAGAUAUUACGAAGAACUCCGAUUGCGAAGGCAGCAUACCGGACGGUAACUGACGCUGAGGCACGAAAGCGUGGGUAUCGAACAGGAUUAGAUACCCUUGUAGUC